GCUGGCUUGGGAUUGUGUGUGUGCAUGAGGGUGUAUGCACAUACUGUAUGCGUGUGUCAGUGUAUGAGAGACAGAGAAGGGAGAGGGAUAGAGGUCCAAAGAGAGAGGUAUAAGUAAAAGAACAGAACAGGAGAAAAGGUAUAAAUAAAACACAAAAGAGCAUCAGACUUGGGUUCGGUAUUUGGGUGACGUUCUGAUUGAUUUGGUCUCAGUACAGCCAUUGCCAGGACUCUCCAUUGGAAAUGAGCUGCACUCCUGCCAGCCGGUUACCCCCUCCCCACAGUGUGAAUGUGGUGACUGCCCCAGAGGAUUCAGCAGAUCCAAAGGAGAGGAGAGGGAGCAGAGUCUACCAGAUCUUCCCUUGCCCCCUGACUCCCAUGUCCACAGAGUCAGAUUCUGAGUCUUUUGCCGAGGACCCUAUUCACAACAGGGGGCGGCUGCCCUCCAUCGUGGUGCAGACUGACGAGGCAAGCGAGAUCAGGGAGCUGCUCUGCUCCCAGGGAGCAGAGGUGGAGCAGGAGGAGGACCCCUACAACAAGCAGAGCCUCCCCCAGACAGAGAGCUGCAUCAGUGGGGACAACCAAGAGGAUAUGGUGGUGCCGCAGGGAAGAAGAAAGAGUUCUAUUACAGCUCAAUCCCUCAGCGUUGCCCGUUUGACUCCUCCCCAUUCGACCCUCCACGAGACUGCCCCGCCCAAGCCUGAGGAGAUGAGCCAAUAGGAGCGGAGCACAAACAGUGACAUAUCUACAGAACUCUUUCUGACAUAAUCUUCGGAACUCUCUCUGGACACACAGCCUGUGGAUUUUUACCUCUCUGAUAUGUAACCAAAAAUGACAUGUUUCAAGAUGACUGGAAUGUGUUUUUAUCGUUUAAUGUGUUUAAUAAUUGUUUACUGUUAAAAUAAAGAUUUAAAAUGCCAUAUAUUAUCGAAACAGUAGUUCCUCCCCAUUUUGGGAAACUAGAAAGAAUGUGUACAUACAACAGAUAUACAAAGAUAUUAGCUACCCGUAGUUUUCAGACUGUAUUCAAGACACAGCUCUGUUGCUAUGUGACAAUAUGGAAACAAGCAAGUGGCUGGGGCUGCCUCUGUAAUGGCAUCCCAUUCCCUAUAUAGUGCACAACUUUUGACCAGAGCCCUAUGGGUCCCGGUCAAAAGGAAUGCACUAUACAGGGAAUAGGGUGCCAUUUGAGACACAUCCUAGGUCUGAGAGAUACUAAUAUACAGUGCAAUGGGCUGUUCAGGGUGAAUAUUUUCCAAUCUGACCCACACCUCUCCCCGCGGCAAAUAAUAUUGUUCAAUUAAAAACUAUCAACAUAGAUUUACAAACCAGCAGCUUGCAACUCUGGCAAAGCUGUUACUGUAGCAAUGGUGUCCUCUAUUGCCGUCAUGGAACAAGCAGGUCACAGCGUUGUUCGCUACCUAAAACAAAUAGGCUCCAUACACACUAAAGUUGAGGUACAAAGUAUUUUACACAAUGGAUGUGGUAUGGAUGUGAUACAAUUGUUAUUUUUGUGAUCCAAAGGAGUUUGUCUGCACACAAAUGUUCACACAACCAUUGUGCUGUCUCCGCAACAGUGGUGUAACACUUUUGUCAAAUUGGUUGUACAUCAGUUGUGCAAACAGAUUUUGUCACAGUUGCCCCUGCAUUUCCCUGGUGAUAAUAUGGGAGACACGUGUUAGGAUUUUAUUGAGAUGCAAAACGCUGGACUGUAAAGAUAAAACAUAGAAACCACUUGUUUGGAGCAAUUAUUGAUUGAUUUUUAUUUUGACCUACUGUACUCUUUUGAUAGCUUACUAUACGUAUGUUUUUGUGAGCACAUGCCAUUGUUUAGGACAUUAAAAUAAGGAUGUGGCACAGAAAGGAAAACAAAUGAAUAAUGUAACGUAGCUCAUUAAUAUUCACCUCAUCAUUUUGAUUAAUCACAAAAUGUUUAACUUGUAAUUGUGGCACCACAGAUGUGCUCCUAUGUUUUUCUCAUUGGGUGGAAAUUCCAGGCCAGGCACCAUCAAACGGUAUGAUUGUGAGCGAUAGCAAAUUACUCUGCAUUGAUGUGUAAUAUUUCAUCAACAAUAUGAAUAAAGAACACCUAAUUGAA
rnacentral:lncRNA from 1 species